GUCCAGACUCCUACGGGAGGCAGCAGUGGGGAAUAUUGCACAAUGGGGGAAACCCUGAUGCAGCGACGCCGCGUGAGCGAUGAAGUAUUUCGGUAUGUAAAGCUCUAUCAGCAGGGAAGAAAAUGACGGUACCUGACUAAGAAGCCCUGGCUAACUACGUGCCAGCAGCCGCGGUAAUACGUAGGGGGCAAGCGUUAUCCGGAUUUACUGGGUGUAAAGGGAGCGUAGACGGCUGUGCAAGCCAGAUGUGAAAGCCCGGGGCUCAACCCCGGGACUGCAUUUGGAACUGUGUGGCUGGAGUGUCGGAGAGGCAGGCGGAAUUCCUAGUGUAGCGGUGAAAUGCGUAGAUAUUAGGAGGAACACCGGCGGCGAAGGCGGCCUGCUGGACUGAAACUGACGUUGAGGCUCGAAAGCGUGGGGAGCAAACAGGGUUAGAUACCCCAGUA
rnacentral:rRNA from 1 species